rnacentral:rRNA from 1 species
ACUCAAAGGAAUUGACGGGGGCCCGCACAAGCGGUGGAGCAUGUUGCUUAAUUCGAGGCAACGCGAAGAACCUUACCCAGGUUUGACAUGCAACGGACCUUCCGUGAAAGCGGGAUUCCCCUCGGGGCCGUUGCACAGAUGCUGCAUGGCUGUCGUCAGCUCGUGCCGUGAGGUGUUCGGUUAAGUCCGGCAACGAGCGCAACCCGUGCCGCCAGUUGCCAUCAGGUGACGCUGGGGACUCUGGCGGGACUGCCCGUGUCAAGCGGGAGGAAGGCGCGGACGACGUCAAGUCCGUAUGGCUCUUACGCCUGGGGCUGCAAACGUGCUACAAUGGCCGGCACAGCGGGGCGCCAAUCCGCGAGGAGGCGCGAAUCCCCAAAACCGGCCCCAGUUCGGAUCGCAGUCUGCAACUCGACUGCGUGAAGCCGGAAUCGCUAGUAAAGGGGCAUCAGCCACGGCCCCUUGAAUACGUUCCCGGGCCUUGUACACACCGCCCGU